AUUUGACGAUAUAUAUUUUGCUAAGAACCUUGUUUAACAAGCACAAAUCAUCUUAAUAAGCAACAAAUUACUAAGACCAAAGAAAACGAUCUCGAAAAUAGCAAGUUUACAAGCAUCAAACACAACAUGGAAAGACUAUUAUAAGGAUAUUGUUCUAAUUAAACCUGUAUAAAGACAAGUCCGUCGAGGAACGACGCACAAACAUUAUUUCUAUCAGCAAUACCUGGUAGCAAAAUCAGUUCUUAUGAGCCUCUUCUUCACCCUUCUUAUCAGCUUUCUCUCUCUCAGCUCUCUCCUUUUCAGCUUUCUUCCUCGCCUUCUCCAUUCUCUCUCUUUCCAUUUUCUGAAUGUAAACAGUCUCUUUAGCACGUUCUUCUUCGCUGAGAAUUCGACCUUUGCUAUCGGAAAAGUAACGAAGACCGGAAGCCGAUGAUCUUCCACCACCUUCCAUUAAACGACGGACUCCACUGCUUGAAACGACAGAUCUCAUUGCCAUAUUCUGCGGAUUAUAUUUUUUUAACAGAGAGG
rnacentral:misc_RNA from 1 species